GGGACACGUGGUAUCCUGUCUGAAUAUGGGGGGACCAUCCUCCAAGGCUAAAUACUCCUGACUGACCGAUAGUGAACCAGUACCGUGAGGGAAAGGCGAAAAGAACCCCGGCGAGGGGAGUGAAAAAGAACCUGAAACCGUGUACGUACAAGCAGUGGGAGCACCUUCGGGUGUGACUGCGUACCUUUUGUAUAAUGGGUCAGCGACUUAUAUUCUGUAGCAAGGUUAACCGUAUAGGGGAGCCGCAGGGAAACCGAGUCUUAACUGGGCGUUAAGUUGCAGGGUAUAGACCCGAAACCCGGUGAUCUAGCCAUGGGCAGGUUGAAGGUUGGGUAACACUAA
rnacentral:rRNA from 1 species